UUUCUUUUAAUCUCUAUUAUUUAAUUCUGGAAGGUGCUAAUCUCGAAGGGAGGGUUCCUGAUAUUUUUCAGUGGUAUCCUUGAAGGGCAUCAUCCCCACUGGCUCUGACCUUUAUGGAUCAGAUGGCAUCCAGAAAAUCAGAAUCUUAAAUGCAUUCUGGAACCUGGGAAUGGAGGCCUGCAGUUGGCAUGGGAGUGGCCUGUGAGAUGAUUUGUUAUUCACUGUUAACCACAGUCUGGAAGCAGAUGAUCCUCCUCCUGACAUACGCUCGCUCAGAAGGUUAUUAGUAGACUAACACUACGUCACGAUGUCUAUGUCUUCUACCUCACUGCAUCUCCUCUGGUUACUGGCUUAGACUAAAGCACAGCUGAAGAGGCAAGUUUUACUGAGAAUGUUUUUCCCAUGUGAGAUACCUCAGCAUCACUUCCUGGAGCCUCCUUUCAAGAGCCUCCAACUGAAC